AGAGUUUGAUCCUGGCUCAAGAUGAACGCUAGCGGCAGGCUUAACACAUGCAAGUCGAGGGGCAGCAUGUCCAGCAAUGGAUGAUGGCGACCGGCGGAAGGGUGCGUAACGCGUGAGCAACAUGCCCUAUACAGGGAGAUACACCAGGGAAACUUGGUCUAAUAUCCCAUAGCAUUCAUUGAAGGCAUCUUUAAUGAAUUAAAGCUUCGGUGGUAUAGGAUUGGCUCGCGUGACAUUAGCCAGAUGGUGAGGUAACGGCUCACCAUAGCAAUGAUGUCUAGGGGUUUUGAGAGGAAGGCCCCCCACACUGGGACUGAGACACGGCCCAGACUCCUACGGGAGGCAGCAGUGAGGAAUAUUGGACAAUGGAUGGAAAUCUGAUCCAGCCAUGCCGCGUGCAGGAAGACGGCCUUAUGGGUUGUAAACUGCUUUUAUACGGGAGCAAUAAGGGUUACGAGUAAUCCGAUGAGAGUACUGUAUGAAUAAGGAUCGGCUAACUCCGUGCCAGCAGCCGCGGUAAUACGGAGGAUCCGAGCGUUAUCCGGAAUUAUUGGGUUUAAAGGGUGCGUAGGCGGCCAUUUAAGUCAGCGGUGAAAUUUUGCAGCUUAACUGUAACAGUGCCGUUGAUACUGUUUGGCUAGGAUUUGGUUGUAGUGUGCGGAAUGUGUGGUGUAGCGGUGAAAUGCUUAGAUAUCACACAGAACACCGAUAGCGAAGGCAGCUUACUAAACUGAAACUGACGCUCAUGCACGAAAGCGUGGGGAUCAAACAGGAUUAGAUACCCUGGUAGUCCACGCCCUAAACGAUGAGUGCUAAGUAUCGGAGGAUUCGGUGCUUAAGCUAACGCAGUAAGCACUCCGCCUGGGGAGUACGGUCGCAAGACUGAAACUCAAAGGAAUUGACGGGGACUCGCACAAGCGGUGGAGCAUGCGGUUUAAUUCGAAGCAACGCGAAGAACCUUACCAGGUCUUGACAUCCCUUUGACGUGUAUAGAGAUAUGCAUUCUCUUCGGAGCAAAGGAGACAGGUGGUGCAUGGUUGUCGUCAGCUCGUGUCGUGAGAUGUUGGGUUAAGUCCCGCAACGAGCGCAACCCCUACCAUUGGUUGCCAUCAUUAAGUUGGGCACUUUAAUGGGACUGCCGGUGACAAACCGGAGGAGGGUGGGGAUGACGUCAAAUCAUCAUGCCCCUUAUGUCCUGGGCUACACACGUGCUACAAUGGCCGGUACAGACGGAAGCGAAGGAGCGAUCUGGAGCGGAUCCUAUAAAGCCGGUCGUAGUUCGGAUCGCAGGCUGCAACUCGCCUGCGUGAAGUCGGAAUCGCUAGUAAUCACGGGUCAGCAUACCGUGGUGAAUACGUUCCCGGGCCUUGUACACACCGCCCGUCAAG
rnacentral:rRNA from 1 species